CUGAGUCAACAAGUCUACCCUCCAGGGCCCUGAGCUGACCAGAGAGUAUAAGGAGGCUGGCCAGGCGGCCUCGGGAGCAGCAGAUAGACAGACAGAGGACCCCAGCCUGCUGCCAUCCAGACAGCAUGGUGAGCAGAGCAUGAGUGCAUCUCAGCCCACGUGGGGCAGGCUGGAGUGCAGGCUGGCUGGCGAUGCCUGCUUGGAACAUGGGAUCCAACCAGAUGCCCAGAGUCAAGACCAUCGGGGGAGGGGACAACUCCUUCAACACCUUCUUUAGUGAAACCAGGAGUAGAAAACAUGUGCUCCAUGGGAUGUUUGGAGCCCACAGUGAUUGACUUGGUGUCACUUCUCAAGAUUGGAUGCUGGGAAGGCAACCCCAAAGUUAGCAACAGUCGGAAGCUGCUGUCACCCCCAGGGCUGGAGGAGCCAAAGGAUGAGAUGUGAUGCCAGAGCCUUGGAGCUGGGACCAUCAGGUGGGAGCUGGAACCACAGCAGGGCUACCCAGAAGGAGCUGGAGGGACCAAGGAAGAAGGGACAUUUGGCAGGAUUCAGAGCCAUGGAGGAGACAUAACCAGAGCCUGAGAAGCUACCUGAUUUAGAGAUACCCUGGCUUUCCCUUCCUCCUACCCUCAAAAUCUAGCCAGUGGUUCCAAUUGGCUGACCCUAGACAGCAUCAAGAUAGCAGGUGACACAGGGCAAAGGGCGAGCAGCCCUGCGGGACACAGAGCCGGAAGGUGGGGAAAAGAUCUCGGAGAACAGGCAGGUCACUGCACAUACCUGCGCUGGCCCUCGUGCUGGGGGCCACUCAGGGCCUGUGGGUGGUAAAGAUGGAAAUGGAGUGACCCUUUCCUUGUCUGACCCCAUUGCCUGUCCCUGUCACUCAUCUCAGCAAUCACUUUGUAGUAAGUAGAGAGAGGAUAGAGUGGAAGUAACAGGAUGCUGGGGAGUUUAGAGAAGACAGGAUGGGCGUGCCCAGCUUGGCAGUUUCCUCUGCUCUCCCAGAAUUAUUUUCCUCAACUCGUCUUUGAGGAUUUAAGCUUAUAGGGGAGGCUCUGUCCUAGGGAAG